AUUCUGGUUGAUCCUGCCAGAGGUCACUGCUAUUGGGAUUCGACUAAGCCAUGCGAGUCGUGAGGGUUCGGCCCUCGGCAGACG
rnacentral:rRNA from 1 species